GGGAAAAGGGAUUUUUGUACUUGAGAUGGAGAUAUCUUGUGGUUUAAAGCAAAUGUCCCACUGAAAGCAAUUCCAAUAUCAACAGAAUUAUUUCAGGUUAAAGCAGACUUUGUGUAUGUGUUUCCUUUUUGAUGAAGUAUGGAUUAAGAUGAACUAGAUGGGAGUUGUGAUGGAGUGUUUGGAUUAGGUGUUCAUAUCACAUGGCCUGUUAGGUCAUACCGUGUGUCCACUGAGCUAUAGUGUGCUAUCUGGCUACAUUCCUCUCAGCUCACACACUCAUCUUUAGAGCAUAGGCCUUCUAUCUGUUCUGGAACAUCUAAGCAGACAGUGUCCUAGGGCUUCUCUAACGGAUCUGCUGUCUUCUGCUGCCUGGUACCCAGAAUGCAGUCCUCAGGAAACUCAACUGGCUUCAAAGAAUCCUCCAAAGGGGGCGUUGGAAUGAAAAACACAUGCCUUCAGAUACUUACAACACAUCUCAGACAUCCUGUUUUCAGAGUGAAGUAGCCAGAAAAUAACCAGCCUUCUAGACUCAGUUCCCUGUGGCAAAGCUGGGCAUGGCACACCCAGUGGAAGCAGGCUUUCAGUGAAGUGGCUUGCUGUAGAUGUGAGUCAUGCAGUUGUCUAACUGGCCGAUGCCAUUUCACUGUCAGCAAGAGUUGGGAGAAAGGGGACCUUAAUAGCUAACUCCCAGAGAUGAGUCUUCUCCUGUGGGCUGUAAGUUCAAAUCAUUUUUGAGAGCCUGGUGGAGCUCUGUCCCUUCUGCCCAGCACUGAGGAGUUUCCUGUAUGGUCUGGGUGCCCCUGGCAAUCCACUCAUGCUGUGUAUGCUGGAACAACCCUGCUCCAAAUGAAGCAGACCUGAGUAGUGUUUCCAUGGAAAAAGGUCAACAGAGAUGACAGAAAGACAGGCUGGACGCUCACACUGCAUGUUCUUAGUGUCUGUCAUUCCAAUUAUUUUAUUACCAAGUUUCCUUGGUACUGAUGAAAAUGCAGGACUUACCUCACCAAAAUGUAUGUCUGUCAGGACUUGAUGGUAAAUUGCAGUGUCAGUGUUUGAAUUUGUAGUCAUUUGUGUUGCUCUAUAAAAAGGUAGUUUACUGUGCUGCUAAUUACUCACUGCAGAAGAACCCAGUGUAUGUGCAAGCACCAAUAUUAAGACCCUUGGUCAUACUUUUCCAUGUUGUGAGAACAUGCCUCCUAAAAAAAACAAGACUUAAUUUUUC
rnacentral:lncRNA from 1 species